rnacentral:rRNA from 1 species
AUUGAACGCUGGCGGCAGGCCUAACACAUGCAAGUCGAACGAACGGAGGAGGGGUGAGUAAUGUCUGGGAAACUGCCUGACGUAGGGAUCAAAGGAGGGGAAACGGUAGAUACAGGUGCAUAACAUCAGAUGUGCCCAGAGGGGAGUAGGUAGUGGGUGGGGUAAAGGCUCACCUAGGCGACGAUCCCUAGCAGGUCUGAGAGGAUGACCAGCCACACUGGAACUGAGACACGGUCCAGACUCCUACGGGAGGCAGCAGUGGGGAAUAUUGCACAAUGGGCGAAAGCCUGAUGCAGCCAUGCCGCGUGGGUGAAGAAGGCCUUCGGGUUGUAAAGCACUUUCAGCGGGGAGGCGUUACCCGCAGAAGAAGCACCGGCUAACUCCGUGCCAGCAGCCGCGGUAAUUC